AGCAACAAAUGCCCUGCUUCCAGGAAAAGCCUCUAAGCAUCAGGUAACAUCAAAUCGUACCCCAAACCGACACAGGUGGUCAGGUAGAGAAUACCAAGGCGCUUGAGAGAACUCGGGUGAAGGAACUAGGCAAAAUGGUGCCGUAACUUCGGGAGAAGGCACGCUGACAUGUAGGUGAAGUGAUUUACUCAUGGAGCUGAAGUCAGUCGAAGAUACCAGCUGGCUGCAACUGUUUAUUAAAAACACAGCACUGUGCAAACACGAAAGUGGACGUAUACGGUGUGACGCCUGCCCGGUGCCGGAAGGUUAAUUGAUGGGGUCAGCGCAAGCGAAGCUCCUGAUCGAAGCCCCGGUAAACGGCGGCCGUAACUAUAACGGUCCUAAGGUAGCGAAAUUCCUUGUCGGGUAAGUUCCGACCUGCACGAAUGGCGUAAUGAUGGCCAGGCUGUCUCCACCCGAGACUCAGUGAAAUUGAACUCGCUGUGAAGAUGCAGUGUACCCGCGGCAAGACGGAAAGACCCCGUGAACCUUUACUAUAGCUUGACACUGAACAUUGAGCCUUGAUGUGUAGGAUAGGUGGGAGGCUUUGAAGUGUGGACGCCAGUCUGCAUGGAGCCGACCUUGAAAUACCACCCUUUAAUGUUUGAUGUUCUAACGUGGACCCGUAAUCCGGGUUGCGGACAGUGUCUGGUGGGUAGUUUGACUGGGGCGGUCUCCUCCUAAAGAGUAACGGAGGAGCACGAAGGUUGGCUAAUCCUGGUCGGACAUCAGGAGGUUAGUGCAAUGGCAUAAGCCAGCUUGACUGCGAGCGUGACGGCGCGAGCAGGUGCGAAAGCAGGUCAUAGUGAUCCGGUGGUUCUGAAUGGAAGGGCCAUCGCUCAACGGAUAAAAGGUACUCCGGGGAUAACAGGCUGAUACCGCCCAAGAGUUCAUAUCGACGGCGGUGUUUGGCACCUCGAUGUCGGCUCAUCACAUCCUGGGGCUGAAGUAGGUCCCAAGGGUAUGGCUGUUCGCCAUUUAAAGUGGUACGCGAGCUGGGUUUAGAACGUCGUGAGACAGUUCGGUCCCUAUCUGCCGUGGGCGCUGGAGAACUGAGGGGGGCUGCUCCUAGUACGAGAGGACCGGAGUGGACGCAUCACUGGUGUUCGGGUUGUCAUGCCAAUGGCACUGCCCGGUAGCUAAAUGCGGAAGAGAUAAGUGCUGAAAGCAUCUAAGCACGAAACUUGCCCCGAGAUGAGUUCUCCCUGAGACUUUAGGUCUCCUGAAGGAACGUUGAAGACGACGACGUUGAUAGGCCGGGUGUGUAAGCGCAGCGAUGCGUUGAGCUAACCGGUACUAAUGAACCGUGAGGCUUAACCUUACAACGCCGAAG
rnacentral:rRNA from 1 species